ensembl:lncRNA
CCACUUCCCACUUUAGGACAUACGAAGGGACUCCACCCCUCUCUUAGUUGUUGUCCCCCCUGGCUAUAACACAAAUUAGAGAUGCAGCCAGUGGACUGUGCAUUCGGAAAGCUGAGGUGACAGUGAGAGCUUCUGCUGAGCUGCAGUAAGAAUCAGCAGUUUGGUGCCACGAUACCCACCAGCUGCAUCUGCACGGCGCUCAUUUUGCUGAGGACAAAAUAUGUAAUGAAGGACUUAAUGGCUUUCUCUAAUUCCUGCACGUAGCUGAAGCAAGAGGCAAGUGCAGCUGGAGCUGCAUCCCACCCAGCUGCUCACAUCUGCCACUCCGGGUCCUGCUGUCAUGGGUGUGCUCCUGCGAGUGCUCCUCGAGGGGAUCAUUAUGCAACAGCGACAGGAUGCAAACAGUCCUUCCGACACGCUGCCUUUCCCCACUGUAGAAGAGGUGUUAGCUGUGGAGGUACGCGAUGUUCUUUCUAUAUAUAUAAGCAAACCUCAUAUUAUUAUUCACAUGAAUAUGAACAAGAUCUUCCUAGCUCCACAGCGCGCAUGGUGUUGUUUCAAACACGGCUCUUGGCAAGAAGUAUUUUAGGAUUGCAUUUGUAUUAAGACUUCUGAAGUCUUUCACCAGUUCUUUCAUGGCUAAACCCCCAGUUGAUGGAUGAGACAUUUCUUUUUACCUACUGCAAUUUGCUUCACUUUUUGUGAUGCAUAAUGAGACAAAAUGUUAUCAGAGGAAUGUUUGAUCUCAUUAUGCAUCCCCGAAUUUCUCUGAGCCUCUGUUCUCAGUUCAUUACCACGAUCCUGCUUUAUUAAUAUUAUUUACAGAUCAUCUCUGUAUUAGCUCCCAAGGCAACUAAACAAAGGGUGCAUUAGAUGUGCAGGGCUUAAUUCAGCACUGCAGAACCAUCCGCUGGUUUACAGUGUCAUGUGUGUGAGGCCGGGGUUUGUUUUUGUCCCCAUUCUGCUUUAUUUGAUUUUGGCCUCUAACGAUGAAUAAAAUAAAGCUUUGCCCAAAGAGAUUUGGUCGCUGCAAACAUGCAGAAGGGCUUCGACAUGUCCUUUUAAAUGAAAAAGCACUGACAUUCUGCAGCAGCAUUCAGAGAAGCGCAAUCAAACCUAUACUCUCAGAGCUCCUGUAUUGCAGGAGAUGCCAUGCAGACCUGCUGGGAGCAUCCUAGCCUCAGCUAUUCUGUGCUUCUGUGAUUGUAUUUAAAUGAAACUGCUGAUGGUGAUCUGCUACACAAUAUGAUUAACACUUUAAUACAUUGUUUGUCAAGGUCUGGACUGCAUUACGUGCAGACUAAAUUAAUCUUGCAUAUCAUAAAACAUCAGAUUGUACUAAGUGAGAUAGAGAUGGCAACGCGGCAUUAAAUGUUGGUCUCUGGAAGAAAUGAAUGACCGGGAAUGGAGGAAAGAGACAGGCUCCAGCAGGAACGUUUGCAGGAAGGCGAAGAGGGGAUCUGAGGACUAAGAGAGAAUCCAGGAGAAGCGGGUGGCUGAGAGCAGUAUCCAACAGAAACGGUUUGGCCCAGAGGAGGGAAGAAGGAAAGACGCAGCAAAGAAAAUGGAAAAGAAACAAUAGACCUUUGCAACAGGAAGGAUGAAGCAUCAGCACAGAAAUUACGCCUGCUCUGUGCUUUACAGCAAUUUGCAUCUUCACGAUCAUAGCUUGUAAGCAUAAAUAAAGCAACCAAGCGUGGGAUAUAUUUCCUCUUCAGAAAUGCAAACUUGAAGAUCCAGAACAACCUAAUUCCAAAAUCUUCCAACUAACUUAGUCCUUGUCUCGGUGAGAAGAGACAACUCUCAGAGAUGAGCUGAAGGACUUUUGCUGGGGAGGCCGAAUGAAAGCAGGUGGCUGGCAAUUCAAAGGUAAUGUGAAAAGAUUUUGGGGCUGAUUAUAUAUUAAGGCCAAAGUAAAAGCCCCGGGAAAGGAGUAACCGAGUCUGAUCUCCAUUGUUCUGUACUUCUGUCUUCUCCCUUCUCGGAUUUCAUGCUUGGUUUCCUCUUUCUCUGCAGAGGAUUAAAAUGGAUGGAAGAUGGGAAUGGAUGAAUUUCUCAGCACUGUAUGUCAGGAGUCCAGUAAUUCUAUCAGCAGCACUAAGACCUAAGCAUGCAAUUACAAGCAACUUUACAUUUUUCAACAUCUGAUUUGAUUUUAUGAUUUAAAAACAGAGGGGAAAGCAGGCCGUGUGCUCACACUUGGCCAAAUUAGUUGUGCAGACAACACACAACUUUCUGUACCGUGUUCCCAGUAGGACAGAGCUGUGCACGAUCUGUUAUUAGCUCAGCCAGCGCUGCUCUCUCCUCCGGUGUAAUAAUCUGGUGAAUCAUCCAUUUUAUUCUGUUACAAUUUAAUAAUUUCAUCUUCACUCAUUUACUUAAAAAGAAAAACAAAGCAAUUUAGCAUCGUGCAAGACAAAAAGCCCCAUGAAGGCCGCCUGGCUUCAAAUUAAGUUACAAUAAUGAGGUUACCUAACACAUUACCGAAGGCAUGAAGCAGUGAAAAGCGAAGCUGUGAAGCAAGAUGUUGUGCAUUUUCACACUGGCCAGAGUGAACAGGCUGUGCUGCUGCAGCAAAGGCUGCCUGUUGUUUUUGCUGUGUUCCAAAGCAAUUUCAUCCCCAAACCCCAAAGUGCAGCUUUGGGGUCACCUUCUUGGGCACCAGCCCAGCCCACCGUGCCCACUGCCCAAUUCCCUCAGUGCCACAUCCCUACAGCUCUGAGCACCUCUAGGGAUGCUGACUGCCCCGCCUCCCUGCGCAGCCGUGCGGUGCCUCACUGCUCUUUCUGAGAAGGAAUGUUUCCUAAUACCCAACCUGACCGUUAUCUGGCACAACGUGAGGCCCCACGUGAACUCACAGCUCCCUGC